rnacentral:piRNA from 1 species
UAAAAAAAACAAACCAAGCCAACUAAGCAA